rnacentral:rRNA from 1 species
CUGUCAAGUCGGAUGUGAAAUCCCCGGGCUCAACCUGGGAACUGCAUUCGAAACUGGCAGGCUAGAGUCUUGUAGAGGGGGGUAGAAUUCCAGGUGUAGCGGUGAAAUGCGUAGAGAUCUGGAGGAAUACCGGUGGCGAAGGCGGCCCCCUGGACAAAGACUGACGCUCAGGUGCGAAAGCGUGGGGAGCAAACAGGAUUAGAUACCCUGGUAGUCCACGCCGUAAACGAUGUCGAUUUGGAGGUUGUGCCCUUGAGGCGUGGCUUCCGGAGCUAACGCGUUAAAUCGACCGCCUGGGGAGUACGGCCGCAAGGUUAAAACUCAAAUGAAUUGACGGGGGCCCGCACAAGCGGUGGAGCAUGUGGUUUAAUUCGAUGCAACGCGAAGAACCUUACCUGGUCUUGACAUCCACAGAACUUUCCAGAGAUGGAUUGGUGCCUUCGGGAACUGUGAGACAGGUGCUGCAUGGCUGUCGUCAGCUCGUGUUGUGAAAUGUUGGGUUAAGUCCCGCAACGAGCGCAACCCUUAUCCUUUGUUGCCAGCGGUUAGGCCGGGAACUCAAAGGAGACUGCCAGUGAUAAACUGGAGGAAGGUGGGGAUGACGUCAAGUCAUCAUGGCCCUUACGACCAGGGCUACACACGUGCUACAAUGGCAUAUACAAAGAGAAGCGACCUCGCGAGAGCAAGCGGACCUCAUAAAGUAUGUCGUAGUCCGGAUUGGAGUCUGCAACUCGACUCCAUGAAGUCGGAAUCGCUAGUAAUCGUAGAUCAGAAUGCUACGGUGAAUACGUUCCCGGGCCUUGUACACACCGCCCGUCACACCAUGGGAGUGGGUUGCAAAAGAAGUAGGUAGCUUAACCUUCGGGAGGGCGCUUACCACUUUGUGAUUCAUGACUGGGGUGAAGUCGUAACAAGGUAACCGUAGGGGAACCUGCGGUUGGAUCACCUCCUUACCUUAAAGAA